rnacentral:rRNA from 1 species
UAAGGAAUAUUGGACAAUGGGCGAAAGCCUGACGGAGCAACGCCGCGUGAGGGAUGAAGGCCUCUGGGCUGUAAACCUCUUUUAUCAAGGAAGAAGAUCUGACGGUACUUGAUGAAUAAGCCACGGCUAAUUCCGUGCCAGCAGCCGCGGUAAUACGGGAGUGGCAAGCGUUAUCCGGAAUUAUUGGGCGUAAAGCGUCCGCAGGCGGCCCUUCAAGUCUGCUGUUAAAAAGUGGAGCUUAACUCCAUCAUGGCAGUGGAAACUGUUGGGCUUGAGUGUGGUAGGGGCAGAGGGAAUUCCCGGUGUAGCGGUGAAAUGCGUAGAUAUCGGGAAGAACACCAGUGGCGAAGGCGCUCUGCUGGGCCAUCACUGACGCUCAUGGACGAAAGCCAGGGGAGCGAAAGGG